rnacentral:rRNA from 1 species
GUGGGGAAUAUUGGACAAUGGGGGGAACCCUGAUCCAGCCAUGCCGCGUGUGUGAAGAAGGCCUUUUGGUUGUAAAGCACUUUAAGCGAGGAGGAGGCUACCGAGAUUAAUACUCUUGGAUAGUGGACGUUACUCGCAGAAUAAGCACCGGCUAACUCUGUGCCAGCAGCCGCGGUAAUACAGAGGGUGCAAGCGUUAAUCGGAUUUACUGGGCGUAAAGCGCGCGUAGGUGGCCAAUUAAGUCAAAUGUGAAAUCCCCGAGCUUAACUUGGGAAUUGCAUUCGAUACUGGUUGGCUAGAGUAUGGGAGAAGAUGGUAGAAUUCCAGGUGUAGCGGUGAAAUGCGUAGAGAUCUGGAGGAAUACCGAUGGCGAAGGCAGCCAUCUGGCCUAAUACUGACACUGAGGUGCGAAAGCAUGGGGAGCAAACAGGAUUAGAAACCCUAGUAGUCC